rnacentral:rRNA from 1 species
CCUACGGGAGACAGCAGUGAGGAAUAUUGGUCAAUGGACGAGAGUCUGAACCAGCCAAGUAGCGUGAAGGAUGACUGCCCUAUGGGUUGUAAACUUCUUUUAUAAAGGAAUAAAACGAGGCACGUGUGCCUUUUUGCAUGUACUUUAUGAAUAAGGAUCGGCUAACUCCGUGCCAGCAGCCGCGGUAAUACGGAGGAUCCGAGCGUUAUCCGGAUGUAUUGGGGUUAAAGGGAGCGUAGAUGGGUUGUUAAGUCAGUUGUGAAAGUUUGCGGCUCAACCGUAAAAUUGCAAUUGAUACUGGCAGUCUUGAGUACAGUUGAGGUAGGCGGAAUUCGUGGUGUAGCGGUGAAAUGCUUAGAUAUCACGAAGAACCCCGAUUGCGAAGGCAGCUUACUAAACUGUGACUGACAUUGAUGCUCGAAAGUGUGGGUAUCAAACAGGAUUAGAUACCCUGGUAGUC